GGCAUGUGUUCAGGCGUAAUAGAAUCGCACAAGAACAUAGACACCGAAAUUAAGCGUUUGAUGGGUGAUAGAAACGCCGCAAGAAAUCGACGACUACCUUAGGAAGAGUUUCGAACCCAUCUUCUCCUAGACGCCUUAUAGCAAAAAAUCGGUAGAACAAAUGCAGCGAACUGCGGGCAAAUGUACCGCUUCAUGCAAAUAUACACUCCACGCUGCUUACAGUAAACGGGAGCCGGCCAUUCAUGGUUGAAGGAUAUGACAUUUAAUGCUUGAUAUCGCACAUGUAUUGUAAUGUUUAGUUGAAAAGAUAUUUAUGUUAAAUGAAC
rnacentral:lncRNA from 1 species